AACGAACGCUGGCGGCAUGCCUAACACAUGCAAGUCGAACGAGACCUUCGGGUCUAGUGGCGCACGGGUGCGUAACGCGUGGGAACCUGCCCUUAGGUUCGAAAUAACUCCCCGAAAGGGGUGCUAAUACCGGAUAAUGUCUUCGGACCAAAGAUUUAUCGCCUUUGGAUGGGCCCGCGUUGGAUUAGCUAGUUGGUAGGGUAAAAGCCUACCAAGGCGACGAUCCAUAGCUGGUCUGAGAGGAUGAUCAGCCACACUGGGACUGAGACACGGCCCAGAAUCCUACGGGAGGCAGCAGUGGGGAAUAUUGGACAAUGGGCGAAAGCCUGAUCCAGCAAGGCCGCGUGAGUGAUGAAGGCCUUAGGGUUGUAAAGCUCUUUUACCCGGGAUGAUAAUGACAGGACCGGGAGAAUAAGCUCCGGCUAACUCCGUG
rnacentral:rRNA from 1 species